AGUCCAGACAUCCCAAGAACCAUGGCGUCCUCGUCCUCAUCCAAAUCAGGUGCGCUCUCCCUCUCAUCCCUUGUCCAGUGUGCAGCAGCAGCAGAGUGAUCACGAAGGCACUUGGUACUACAAGUGCAGAUUCUUCAGUACCGGGCAGUGCUCAGGUGGAGGGAGAGAUACACAGAAUUACUGGAGGCGGAUGGCGGAUUGGCGGUCAAGGUGCCGCUCCCGGAGCCGCCUACACUCGCGCAACCUGCCUCAGCUCACAACUAGGAGUACCAAAGAUCUGGCGCGCGCAAAUCUUAUGUACCCGUCAUCGACACCAUGGCUACGCUGAUUGUGCUGGCCGGCCUAAUCGCCCUGUUGGGAUCCUGUCACAAAAUGAAGUGUGUAGCUACCCAGGCAUACGUUGUAGUAGGCCGAACUAGGUACACUACCACAGUUUGGAUCUUUUUUGUGCAGGUACUACAGUUUGGUUCGGUAAUCCUUUUUAGCUUAGUGUAUGUUGCCAGCCUCUCGGCAGCUUAUCUAAAAUUCACUUGUAUGCUUA